rnacentral:hammerhead_ribozyme from 1 species
AUCUAGCUGACGAAUCCCAAAUAGGACGAAACGCGCAUCCUGGAU